GGAACAGACUGCCCAGGCUCCUUCGUUCAGCAGUCUGCACCUGUAUUUGGUUCUUUCCCUCCAUAUCUUGGAAAGAGGGGAGAGAGAAGUUCUUUGGGCAACGGCCAUCUGGAGCACUUCUCACUGGGCACAGGCUCACGCAGAUCAGACACAGAGCGCAGAGUGGAGAGCUUCCCGGACCUUCACAGAGAGCUUGGCCCUUGAAGCUUGUCACAGCCGGCCCAGCUGAGCAGAGGCGCAGGAGCAGCCUGGGGUGUCCCCACAGCCAGAUCACAGAAGCUCGGGGACACUCGGACCUUCAGGAGGCAGGAGGUGAUGCCUGGAAUGGAAGUUUCACUUGUCCGGCAGCCCAACCCUCAUGUGGCGCAUUCUGGGGAGCAGAGGUGAUGCUGGGCUAUGGCUUCACAUCUCCAUGGACCCUCUGAGGCUGGUGGGACCCCUCGCUACCUACAGCCUGGGCUGGUGUUCCCCGAGGUCUUCUUUUUCUCACAAAAGAAGCCAGGAUAGGGCCGGGGAUUUAGCUCAGUGGUUCUGGCACCUGCCUCACAAGCGCAAGGUCCCGAGUUCGAUCCCUGGUAUCAAAGAAAGAAGCCGGCUUAGCUCACCUCCCUGCAUGUCUGUCCCCACGGCACGUGCUGUUCCUCUGGCGGCUGGAGUUACCUGGGGACUGGGGCUCACGCUCUCCAGGGUCUCAUAGUAGCAGGGGUCUGGCAGUAUGGCUGGAGCAGUCGGAUGUGAUGGCCGAGUGAGGAGACUCACUAACCACAGAUGGAGAAUGGCAGCACCCAAGCCUGACUCGGGACCAAGCUGAACCCUGUACCCAGCACCAGUGAGAACAUGAAGAACCUGGCACGUGAUAUCAGUCUUCUAGCACGAGGCCAGUGUGACCUCCGGGGUCAGCUGUGGAGACACAGAAGGGCGGCAGUGACUGAGCUGUGGCCACCGACCUCUUGCUCUUGCAGCAUCUGUUCUGUGUGCAGGACACACCCGCUCUUUUUCCUUCAGAGCACCUUUUCUCCCUGAGCACUUCUGUGCUUCUCCCUUUUAUUCCUGCCCUAAAUAAAUG
rnacentral:lncRNA from 1 species